AAGCGGCUUAGUUAGGAGGCGCAAAUCAAUCGGAACCAAAUUCACUUUUGCUUCCAUUCAGAGAAAGGCCUUUUGAAGGGACUUUUGUCUUCUCCUCUCACUUGUCCCUCAAGCACCCUUUCACAUUC
rfam:Cajanus cajan chromosome 8, whole genome shotgun sequence.